CGCACAUUGCGCCCAUUAGUAUUCUAGUGGGCAUGCCUGUUCGAGCGUCAUUUCAACCCUUAAGCCUAGCUUAGCGUUGGGAGACUGCACUAAACCGCAGCUCCUCAAAACCAGUGGCGGAGUCCUCUGUGCUCUGAGCGUAGUAAUUUUUAUCUCGCUUGUAUGAACGCAGUGGUCAACGGCCAUAAACCGCACCUCUCCCUUCUGGGAUCGGGCACUUUUUUAAUGGUUGACCUCGGAUCAGGUAGGAAUACCCGCUGAACUUAA
rnacentral:misc_RNA from 1 species